AACAGUACCUAGCAGCGGAGACACCAUAAUCAGAAAGGUGGCUUUCCUCGGGUGAGGCUUGUCCAUUUCACUUGGGCUAUGCUGACCCCUGUGAUUUGCCUACAAAGCCAAAGGACCCAGUGUUCGAUUCCC
rnacentral:snRNA from 1 species